rnacentral:rRNA from 1 species
GACGAACGCUGGCGGCGUGCUUAACACAUGCAAGUCGAACGGAAAGGCCCUGCUUUUGUGGGGUGCUCGAGUGGCGAACGGGUGAGUAACACGUGAGUAACCUGCCCUUGACUUUGGGAUAACUUCAGGAAACUGGGGCUAAUACCGGAUAGGAGCUCCUGCUGCAUGGUGGGGGUUGGAAAGUUUCGGCGGUUGGGGAUGGACUCGCGGCUUAUCAGCUUGUUGGUGGGGUAGUGGCUUACCAAGGCUUUGACGGGUAGCCGGCCUGAGAGGGUGACCGGCGACAUUGGGACUGAGAUACGGCCCAGACUCCUACGGGAGGCAGAAGUGGGGAAUAUUGCACAAUGGGCGGAAGCCUGAUGCAGCAACGCCGCGUGCGGGAUGACGGCCUUCGGGUUGUAAACCGCGUUCGCCUGUGACGAAGCGUGAGUGACGGUAAUGGGUAAAGAGGCACCGGCUAACUACGUG